AGAGUUUGAUCGUGGCUCAGGAUGAACGCUAGCGGCGCGCUUAAUGCAUGCAAGUCGAGCGAUGAGGCUCCUUCGGGAGUACAUCAGCGGCAGACGGGUGAGUAACACGUAGGUGACCUACCCUCAAGACGGGGAUAACGAGUGGAAACAUUUGCUAAUACCCGAUGACCUUACUAGGUCGAAGUAGUAAGGAAAGCUCCGGUGCUUGAGGAGGGGCCUGCGGCCCAUCAGCUAGUUGGUGAGGUAACGGCUUACCAAGGCAAAGACGGGUAGGGGGUGUGAGAGCAUGACCCCCCACAUGGGACUGCGACACGGCCCAUACUCCUACGGGAGGCAGCAGCAGGGAAUCUUGCACAAUGGACGAAAGUCUGAUGCAGCGACGCCGCGUGAGUGAAGACGGCCUUCGGGUUGUAAAACUCUUUUGAGGGGGAAGAGUGAGGACGGUACCCUUCGAAUAAGCGUCGGCUAACUACGUGCCAGCAGCCGCGGUAAGACGUAGGACGCAAGCGUUAUCCGGAUUUACUGGGCGUAAAGCGUCUGUAGGCGGGUGUGUAAGUUGGAUGUGAAAGCUCCAUGCUCAACGUGGAGAGGCCAUACAAUACUGCACGCCUAGAGGGGGUCAGAGGAGUGUGGAAUUUCCGGUGUAGCGGUAAAAUGCGCAGAUAUCGGAAGGAAUACCAGUGGCGAAGGCGGCACUCUGGGGCCCACCUGACGCUGAGAGACGAAAGCUAGGGGAGCGAACAGGAUUAGAGACCCUGGUAGUCCUAGCCCUAAACGCUGAAUGCUAGGUGUGGGGGCGUAGAGCCUCUGUGCCGGAGCUAACGCGAUAAGCAUUCCGCCUGGGGAGUACGGCCGCAAGGUUAAAACUCAAACGAAUUGACGAGACCCCGCACAAGCAGCGGAGCGUGUGGUUUAAUUCGAUCCUACACGAAGAACCUUACCUGGGUUUGACAUAUAGGUGGUAGGAAGCCGAAAGGCGACUGACCCUUCGGGGAGCUUAUACAGGUGCUGCAUGGCUGUCGUCAGCUCGUGCCGUGAGGUGUCGGGUUAAGUCCCGUAACGAGCGCAACCCUUGCCCUUAGUUAUACGUGUCUAAGGGGACUGCCGGCGGGAAGCCGGAGGAAGGUGGGGAUGACGUCAAGUCAGCAUGGCCCUUAUAUCCAGGGCUACACACACGCUACAAUGGGCGGUACAGAGGGCAGCGAAGUCGCGAGGCGGAGCGAAUCCUAGAAAGCCGUUCGUAGUUCGAAUAGCAGGCUGCAACUCGCCUGCUUGAAGCUGGAGUUGCUAGUAACCGCGCGUCAGCUAUAGUGCGGUGAAUACGUUCCCGGGGUUUGUACACACCGCCCGUCACGUCAUGGGAGUUGGUAACGCCUGAAGCCGGUAGCUUAACGUUAACGCGGGAGCGCUGUCGAGGGCGGGGCUGGCAACUGGGACGAAGUCGUAACGAGGUA
rnacentral:rRNA from 1 species